rnacentral:lncRNA from 1 species
GGGAAAGAAAAGUUGGUCACUGCAAGAGCAAAUUUUCUCAUGCCAGGAGUUCUCCUCUUUCUUCCCAUUAAAUGGACCUGAGCAAAUUCUGAUCUCACUGUCCAAAUUUCUUCUUUCAGAAUGAACUAUGGCAGCGACCCGGCCCCAGGAGGAUGCACGCGAAGUUCCAGGGCUGUGGAGAGGGGUCGGCCCCUGGGCGGGCGCGUUUCCGGGGACUCUCCCCCUCCCCCGCCCCAGCCCCACGGACAGCGCAAGGAUGUGGAAUCCCUGGAGAAGCCGGAUGGAUCCUGCCCGGAAAAGAGGGAUUUGGGCACCCCUCCCACCCGCGCCCGGGAACCGCCGCCCCACCUCCGGAACCCGUCGGGGUGGCGGCGGCCGUGAACACUCACCGAGUCCAGCGUUGGGCGGGACCGCUGGGGUCGAGGACUGCGGCUCCGCCUCGGUGCCGCGACGGCGUCUCGGCCCGCCACACGCCCUCAGGGCCACCGCCCGGCCCGCGGCUUGGAACCCCGCGGCGGCGGUGGCGGCCUCGCCUCCAUGGCGAGGAGAAGCGGCUGAGGAGCAACUGGACAGGCGGCGGUGAUGGCGGCGGCGGUCCGGGGUCCGAGCUGAGUCGCGCGCGCGCGUCUCUGUCAGCGCCGCACUCGCCACAGCCUCGCUCCCGAUCCGGCCUGGGUUGUAAGGAGCUUCCUCAUUGGCGGUUCAGAGACGAGCGCUGGUUGGCCCAGAUCGAAAGGGCGUUCCCCUGGCCCUCGUGGGCCCCGCCCUUACGCGCCUCCGAACGCUCGCUAGCCUGCCGGCCUGGGGCGCAGGCCCGGGUCUCUGUGUCUCACGGUCUCACGGACCGCCAGGGAGGCGGUCCCCCCACCGCGGUCCAAUCCUGGGGGAAACAGGACCCUGGGAGCACCGGCCGACUGUGCACCAACACCUUCCGUUUCUCUACAGUCACACCUAGACGUAGGUCUUCUUCCCAGUUUACAGAUGCGAAAACUGAGACCAAACACAAGUUACACCAAUGUUUAGCGAUCGGGGAGACCUGGAGCUCAAAAAUCUUUCCACUGUCUCCAAACGGGUUCCCCAGAACUCCCCCUCCCUCCGCUUUUUAA